UACAUGGGGUGCAAACGUUGCUCGGAAUUAUUGGGCGUAAAGCGCACGUAGGCGGUUUGUUAAGUCGGAUGUGAAAUCCCUCGGCUCAACUGAGGAAGUGCAUCCGAAACUGGCAGGCUUGAGUACUAAAGAGGGUCGCGGAAUUCCCGGUGUAGAGGUGAAAUUCGUAGAUAUUCGGAAGAACACCAGUGGCGAAGGCGACUCGCUGGACAAGUAUUGACGCUGAGGUGCGAAAGCGUGGGGAGCAAACAGG
rnacentral:rRNA from 1 species